rnacentral:rRNA from 1 species
AGUGAACGCUGGCGGUAGGCCUAACACAUGCAAGUCGAACGGCAGCACAGGAGAGCUUGCUCUCUGGGUGGCGAGUGGCGGACGGGGAAGGAAUACAUCGGAAUCUACUCUGUCGUGGGGGAUAACGUAGGGAAACUUACGCUAAUACCGCAUACGACCUACGGGUGAAAGCAGGGGAUCUUCGGGCCUUGCGCGAUUGAAUGAGCCGAUGUCGGAUUAGCUAGUUGGCGGGGUAAAGGCCCACCAAGGCGACGAUCCGUAGCUGGUCUGAGAGGAUGAUCAGCCACACUGGAACUGAGACACGGUCCAGACUCCUACGGGAGGCAGCAGUGGGGAAUAUUGGACAACGGGCGCAAGCCUGAUCCAGCCAUACCGCGUGGGUGAAGAAGGCCUUCGGGUUGUAAAGCCCUUUUGUUGGGAAAGAAAUCCAGCUGGCUAAUACCCGGUUGGGAUGACGGUACCCAAAGAAUAAGCACCGGCUAACUUCGUGCCAGCCGCCGCAGUAA